AAGGAGAGCAGGUGGGGAUGGUGAUGGGGGUGAGCCCAUGAGAACGGAAGCUCUGACGUGGGAGGAAGUGGGGGAAACUGCUGCAGCAGUGUCUUUAGAGCAGGAGGGAGAAGAUGGGAUCUGGCACCCGAGGGCUGGACACAGACGUGGUCGGUCCACAGGACCAGGGGAGAAGACCAAGUGCAAAGGCAAACAGGCAGAUGCCUCCUGCUCCGACCUGGAAGCACAAAUGUUGAGGGAAGAGCCGCCAAGUGAAGCGCCUGGCUCUGCAGAGCCUCCUCCCUGCCGUCUGCACGCCCAGCUCCAGACUCCAGCAGAUCAUGAUCCGAGGCUCAGCCGUCCAUCCCCACCACUCAGGCAGAGCCGCAUCCACCGCCGUUCAGACCAUGCAUAAUUGACGAGCCCCAUUCUUUCCACGUGGAGCCCUGAGACGCCCACGGCCAUAAUGCAGGAUGUUAAAAGCUUCCUGGGAAGCCCUGCUCCUGUCUCCAAGAGGGGUAAUUAAUGUAAUAAAGGGGUUUCCAAUUA